GUGCGGGGAGGAGUUUGAGAUGGGAGGCGCUUGCAGGGGCUCCCCCAGUUCUGCGCUGUGAGCCGGGGCACAAAGAGCCCUCUGCACUAGCGCCGCAGGACCGCGGACCCGAGUUGGAGGCAUCUGUCCACCCAUGUGGUUCCAGACACGUUCAUGUGGCCACCAUGACCCCGUCGGCAUCACAGGAGUAACCAAGGUCCACAGAGCGAGGGGAAAGGGUCACUGUGGAUCAAGCCAGGCUCCUCUGAGCAGUCCAGGAUCUAUUUACAGAGAGCAGCAAGUUCCUGGGACAGAGGAGACAGAAGGGAAUUUCCAGGUUCUUCAGGACGUUCACAACCACACUGAGAAGCAUCUUUGCAGAUAAGUAUUUAAACUUACCAGCCCAUAGCCUACCAGCCUGCCCUCUUCUGGUCUGUGCAGGAAAGUGUAGUAUCCUAGAAUACCAAAGUGGGAGGGGAAAUGGGUGAUGUAGCUCAUUCUCUUUUCUACCUCUAUGGAAGAAAGAAAGAGCCUGUCCCCAUUUUGUGGGGUCCCAGAAAGGGUGAUUUUCACACUUCACAUUUGGCAUUAGGGCUAGUAUUUUACAAACAUUACCGUCUGGAACUUUUGAAGGCUGAGUUAAAUGACUUCAUCUUGUGUACUUGUAGAACUGCUAUUAGAAGGAGGCUGGGACUCCCUGAUGAUGUGAACCAGCCCUUCUCUUCUCAGUUUCAGCACUUUGUGAUCAUAUUUAUAAACCUUAGACAGGGCUCCUUGGCCUUACAGUUAAGUGAAGAGUUAACACUGUGACUUUAGAUGCAUUUUUCUCAGUGCAAGUGUCUGAGCUCAUCUCCAGUUCUGGACUCGUGCCCCCACUCCCAGGUGCUGACAGCAAGCUCUGAAGAUAUGCUGAGAGAGCUCCCUGACUCUCCUGACUCAGGUCUGCCAGUUGAUGAAGACAGCACAGUUGUUACCAAAAACAAAACCUGGCAGAUGGUCCUAGGUCAGGAUUAGUGGUCAUUCUCUGGUCUUCUCCAGACUGGUGACACAGGGUGGUCUUAAAAGAGUCCUAGUCCAGCCUCUGGCUCCCCGAAUUUCCUCUGGUGCAUGGGGCAUCAGGAAAGGGCAGGGGAGAAGGAGGGGGAGCAGAAAAAUAACUGAGGCUGGGCAGAAGGGUCCCUUCCAUUUCCCAUCCAUUGCUUCAAACAAUGGGUGAUUACCGUGCACCUUGAGUGAAUGUCCAGGCAGGAAGGGUUCCAGGGCCACCCAGUGUGGCAGGAGCAGAGCUGGGAUCAGAAUUCUGGAUUCCUGACUCUCCGUUCAGCUGCUAUUCAGCUAUCACCAAGCUGCUGAGUUUGUCCUACUUUCUCCUGGGUCACAUUCUGCUGUUGUUGGGAAACAGGGAGUGAGUGAAGGGAACCUGGGAACCCUUCUCCCCUCACCUUUUAAGGAUGUUCUGGGGUGGAAUAAAGAGAGGUGGAGGGUGGGGUGCCUGGGCCCAGCCUCCCUGGCUCCUGGUCCUUCUUUCUUCAGCAGGGAGUUCUGGCAAGGCCUGGGCCUGGGGAGGGGGCCUGGGUGCAGUUUUCUCCUGCGGUGUGGUUGGCUCUUUUGUCUUCCAGGAUGGGCCUGUGGGGUCUGUGUGGGGAAGGAAGGAGCUGGGAGCCUGGGCUGCCUGUGUGUCGGCUGGAUGCUGCCAGCACCGGCAAGGACCAAGCAACUUCUCUGAGCCAGAUGCUGGGGACGCAGAGGUGAACCCAGAGACAUGAUCCCAUCUGCUCAGAUCUUCAUGUCAGAAC
rnacentral:lncRNA from 1 species